UAAAACCUCUGGAAGUUGGGUUAUAAAUUUUCUUGGAAAAUCCAUGUGUCAAAUAUCAGCGGUCAAGAAGAUACUGGCAAUCAGAGACUGGAAGAGGUGAGAAGUACUUUGGGGGUAGGAGUGAAAUCUGUUAAUCCCAGAGGGACCACCAACAGCGAAGGCGUCUCACCAGAACAGUUUUGACAGUAAGGGAUGAAAGCUGGGGGAGCAAAAGGGAUUAGAUACCCGGGUAGUCCCAGCAGUAAACGAUGCGCAUUAGGCGUUAGGGCGUCCUCGAGAGGUGGAGGUGCUGAAGGGAAGCCGAGGAGCGUGCCGCCUGGGAAGUACGGUCGCAAGGCUGAAACUUAAAGGAAUUGGCGGGGGAGCACCACAACGGGUGGAGCGUGCGGUUCAAUUGGAUUCAACGCCGUGAACCUCACCAG
rnacentral:rRNA from 1 species